rnacentral:rRNA from 1 species
CCUACGGUGGGCAGCAGUGAGGAAUAUUGGUCAAUGGGCGCGAGCCUGAACCAGCCAAGUCGCGUGAAGGAUGACUGCCCUACGGGUUGUAAACCUCUUUUAUAAAGGAAUAAAGUGAGCCACGCGUGCCUUUUCGUAUGUACCUUAUGAAUAAGCAUCGGCUAACUCCGUGCCAGCAGCCGCGGUAAUACGGAGGAGGCAAGCGUUAUCCGGAAUGACUGGGGGUAAAGGGUGCGUAGGUGGUUAGUCAAGUUAGUAGCGUAACCGCGGGGCUCAACCUCGGAAGUACGGCUAAACCUGGCUGACUUGAGUGCACGAGGGGCAAGUGGAAUUCGUGGUGUAGCGGUGGAAUGCGUAGAUAUUAGGAAGAACACCAGUGGCGAAGGCGAAAUACUGGAGUGUAACUGACGCUGAGGCACGAAAGCGUGGGGAUCGAACAGGAUUAGAUACCCUAGUAGUC